GGAGCAGCGGGUCUCUUCCGGCGGUUGUGAAGUUGAUAACUGGUGGUAGGCGAGAGAGCUCCCCCUUCCGGCCGCCGUGUCCAUUUUAGGAGAGAUUGUCUUCUAUUCCUGCUCAAACACGUGAUUGUCGGUUAGCCUCCGUCUCCCCAGCUAGAAGAGCGAUCGGAGUCAGCUUUGCUUCCUGUGUUAGUUGAGGUUCUCCAGAAGAGAGGGGACAGGAUAUGUACCCGGAAAGAGAGGUUAGUUUUAAGGGUGGGCUCUGUUAAUCUUAAAAGUAAUAAAAAAUAAUAAAACAGUUAUUUUACCAGCAAAGAUGGGAUUAUUUGGGAAUAGCAGAGACUUGCUUGGCAGGGUAAGUAGACUUGCCAGAACCAGGGGCAAGUCUGGAGAACGGGGAGAGGAGAGGGAGCUGUAAGCGAGACACAUGGAUGACACCAGGUGCUGGUGACACCACGUGCUGGACACAAGUCAGACGGUGAAGUCAUUAUUCGCAGCAACAAUAAAUUAAGUAAAAACUGCAUAAACAAUAGAGGACCCGAUAUAUUUGCAGUAGAAGUGGCUCCAAAGUCUACAAUAGUUUGUCAACAUGUGAUGCCUCUGCGGGAACGACAAGACUGGGCUUUAUUAUUAAAAUAUAAAUAAAUAGAGGAUGAAGCUCCAUAGCUCAGGGGUUAGAGCACUGGUCUUGUAAAAUAUAACUAAAUAGAGGGAAGGGGGAAGUGUGAUGCUCUCUCAUUGGCUGGGCUGUUGCUGGAGCAGCAGGAAACCUUCUUGUUGCUGGUGACGCAAUUUUCUACCAGGAGGACCCUCCCAAAGGAAAGCCGAAAGGAUGCUUUUCAGCCAAAAAAAAAAGUGAUCACAGGUUGUAAAGCCAAAAUCUAAGAAGGAGCACAGAGCAAAUAAAGUGGUACAUAAGUGAGAAAAUAUAAUUGUACAAAAUAACAGUAAGUCUUGUAUGACAAAAUGAGAGAAUU